rnacentral:rRNA from 1 species
GGACGAACGCUGGCGGCGUGCUUAACACAUGCAAGUGGAGCGACGAACCGGGGCUUGCCCCGGGGCAGAGCCGCGAACGGGUGAGUAACACGUGGGUAACCUGCCUCAAUGAUUGGGACAACCCGGGGAAACUCGGGCUAAUACCAAAUGUGUUCACUCCUUCUAAGGGGAGUGAGGAAAGGAAGCUUCGGCCUCCGCAUUGAGAUGGGCCCGCGGCCCAUUAGCUUGUUGGUGAGGUAACGGCUCACCAAGGCUUCGAUGGGUAGCUGGUCUGAGAGGACGAUCAGCCACACUGGGACUGAGACACGGCCCAGACUCCUACGGGAGGCAGCAGUGGGGAAUCUUGCACAAUGCGCGAAAGCGUGAUGCAGCAACGCCGCGUGGGGGAAGACGGCCUUCGGGUUGUAAACCCCUUUCAGUUGGGACGAAGCUUCGUCGGUGAAUAGCCGGUUGGAGUGACGGUACCUUCAGAAGAAGCCCCGGCUAACUACGUG